CCCUUAGAGUUUGAUCCUGGCUCAGGAUGAACGCUAGCUACAGGCUUAACACAUGCAAGUCGAGGGGCAGCAUUUCAGUUUGCUUGCAAACUGGAGAUGGCGACCGGCGCACGGGUGAGUAACACGUAUCCAACCUGCCGAUAACUCGGGGAUAGCCUUUCGAAAGAAAGAUUAAUACCCGAUGGUAUAAUCAGACCGCAUGGUCUUGUUAUUAAAGAAUUUCGGUUAUCGAUGGGGAUGCGUUCCAUUAGGCAGUUGGUGAGGUAACGGCUCACCAAACCUUCGAUGGAUAGGGGUUCUGAGAGGAAGGUCCCCCACAUUGGAACUGAGACACGGUCCAAACUCCUACGGGAGGCAGCAGUGAGGAAUAUUGGUCAAUGGGCGCAGGCCUGAACCAGCCAAGUAGCGUGAAGGAUGACUGCCCUAUGGGUUGUAAACUUCUUUUAUAUGGGAAUAAAGUUU
rnacentral:rRNA from 1 species